rnacentral:rRNA from 1 species
UGGGGAAUUUUGGACAAUGGGGGCAACCCUGAUCCAGCAACGCCGCGUGAAGGAUGAAGGUCUUCGGAUUGUAAACUUCUUUUGUCUGGGAAUAAGAAAUCUGUAGAAAUACGGAGAGUGAAUGUACCAGAUGAAUAAGCCACGGCUAACUUCGUGCCAGCAGCCGCGGUAAUACGAAGGUGGCAAGCGUUACUCGGAAUUACUAGGCGUAAAGGGCAGGUAGGUGGUUCGAUAAGUCUGUUGUGGAAGCUCCCGGCUUAACUGGGAGAGGUCAACAGAUACUAUCGAGCUUGAGUGUGGGAGAGGAUAUUGGAAUUCCCGGUGUAGCGGUGAAAUGCGCAGAGUUCGGGAGGAACACCAAUGGCGAAAGCAGAUAUCUGGACCACUACUGACACUAAGCUGCGAAAGCUAGGGGAGCAAACAGGAUUAGAUACCCAAGUAGUCCCUGAGCGGGCUGGCAAGGCGCAU